rnacentral:rRNA from 1 species
UACGUAGGGGGCUAGCGUUGUCCGGAAUCAUUGGGCGUAAAGCGCGUGUAGGCGGCCCGGUAAGUCCGCUGUGAAAGUCGGGGGGCUCAACCCUCGAAUGCCGGUGGAUACUGUCGGGCUAGAGUGCGGAAGAGGCGAGUGGAAUUCCUGGUGUAGCGGUGAAAUGCGCAAAUAUCAGGAGGAACACCAAUUGCGAAGGCAGCUCGCUGGGACGUAACGUG